CACGGCGGAUAUGGAGACGGAAGUUGAGACAACUGCAGGUGGCCCCUGGUGGACCGGGAGCCGCUUGAUGAAAUGUAACGGACACACUUCCAAUGUCCCCAAGGGCGACUAUAAUCCUCUAGGUGACAGAAAGCCAUUUUUUCCGAAGAGUCAGAGCGUCAGCCGAGUUCUUUGUCUCUGAAUGUCCGGCAUCCAUUCCUGUGCUGCUUUCUACAAAGUGCGCUCCCCAGAUCGACUGAUCGGAGCUGUAUCGACAAUGAAGCAGUGGACUUGCUAACCAAAUUUGAGGGAAGCCCUAUUUUUAUUUCACAGUCACCUCCGGUAGAUACUUGGGACUCAGGAGGUGUCAUUAGUGCACUGUUUCUGCAGCCUUUACCUCAUUUGCUAAGUGACCGCAUGACAGUCAUCUCUGUGAGAUGUUUCUCUUCUUUAUCUAAGCCCCAUAAGAGAGGUCACACAAUUAACCCGAGAGAAAAGACAGAGAAAGAUGCAUUGUUUACAUUAGUUACCCGGAUGAAACCAGAAACUAAUACAAUAAUGCAAAGAGUUUAUCUGUCACUGAAGGGCCAUUAAUUCGUCUUCUGGAGCAAAGGCAGACACACAGGUUUGUAAGUGACUGUCUUCCCCAGCUGGCAUCCUGUAGACUUAGUGAGUUUCAGUAGUGCCAAAGCUGAGGCGGAGCGAGUUCAUCGCGCAGUGCAGUGUGGACCCUUUCAGGAUAAAGGUGCUGUGUAUGACGAAGAGAACUGCAUUGAAAGUGGCGUUUUGAAGAACGAUGGUGGCGUGGUGCACACCUAGCAACCGGCAGGGGAAAGUGCUGGGUCUCAGAUCGUGCCCGAAGCCCGCUGUGUUCAUUGAUUACAUGCGCUGGGGAAGAGCACAGAGAGCUGCUACCCACCUCUCCGGAGAAGGUCCCUGGGACUUCUGACUCCGAGGCUCGUCACCGCACAGAAAGGAUGCCCAAGAAGAUGCCUGAAGGGGCAGCGGCUUCUUAGGACUCUAAUUUCCAGUAGCUGCUGGCGCUGAACUUGGUGUCUGCUGCAAACUUCGGCUUGGCGGUGGAAAGUUAAUCGUAACUGCUCUCCGGGAUGCACGUGAGCGCCCGGUGAAUGCGCGAUCCCCGUGAGACAGAGGAAACCCGCCUGGUCUUGUUCCUCCUCCUUCCACGCUGGCCACCAAAGAGGAGGCCCUCGUUCCCUCCUGGCCUCCUUCAGGGUUUGGGGAGGAGACUGCAUCCUGUGGUGGUGGCCGCUUCCGUCUGGUUCAUCAGUGCCUUGUGCAGAUGUGCUGCUGCCUCCUUCCCCACGUUGAACACGCGGGAUCUGUGAGGCCAGGUGCUGAUGUGUGCUAUGCAUCCUGCGCCUCUGGAACAUUCUGGAGGCAAAAGUUCUCCCUGUCUCCAAGCCUGGAGGUGGAAAACAGGAUGUAGACAGGAAGCUUCCUCAUAUCAUCAACCAUUCCUUUGGGUCCUAGGUUUUUCAAACAUAAAAGCCAAAACGUUUGAAACCCGAGAGCCUUUCUCUGCGUUUCUUUAGCUUCAUGAAUCCUCCGAGGAGAGGAGGGAUAACUGGCUGAAAACACAGACAGGAGGGAGGAAACACAAGAAAAGAAGAAAUAUCUGUAUUUUUAAAAAGCGGUGUCCCUCUGCAAUAUUUUUCGGCAUUGAUUAAGCAAUUAGUUUGCCUCACGAUACAGACGACACCUCACCACUCCUUGGAAGGCUUCUGCCUUCCCGGGCAGACUGCGAGGCGCGCCAGCACCGGGAGCCUGUGCACGGUGCCGCAGUCGCGCCCACUCUCCGCUCUGCGCAGGGUGCCUUGGCCAUUCAGGCUUUGAAGUACUUAACAAGUAAUGAAACAUGUCCAUCCCUGAAUAAA